AGCGAACGCUGGCGGCAGGCCUAACACAUGCAAGUCGAACGAACUCUUCGGAGUUAGUGGCGGACGGGUGAGUAACCCGUGGGAACGUGCCUUUUGGUUCGGAAUAACUCAGGGAAACUUGUGCUAAUACCGAAUGUGCCCUUCGGGGGAAAGAUUUAUCGCCAUUAGAGCGGCCCGCGUCUGAUUAGCUAGUUGGUGAGGUAACGGCUCACCAAGGCGACGAUCAGUAGCUGGUCUGAGAGGAUGACCAGCCACACUGGGACUGAGACACGGCCCAGACUCCUACGGGAGGCAGCAGUGGGGAAUCUUGCGCAAUGGGCGAAAGCCUGACGCAGCCAUGCCGCGUGAAUGAUGAAGGUCUUAGGAUUGUAAAAUUCUUUCACCGGGGACGAUAAUGACGGUACCCGGAGAAGAAACCCCGGCUAACUUCGU
rnacentral:rRNA from 1 species